UAGCUCAGUGGUAGAGCGGUCGACUGUUAAUCGAUUGGUCGUAGGUUCGAAUCC
rnacentral:tRNA from 1 species